AUAUUGCACAAUGGAGGGAACUCUGAUGCAGCAACGCCGCGUGAGUGAAGAAGGUUUNNNGAUCGNACAACUCUGUCAUUGGANAAGNAUAAAUGACGGUACCCAAUGAGGAAGCCCCGGCUAACUACGUGCCAGCAGCCGCGGUAAUACGUAGGGGGCAAGCGUUGUCCGGAAUUAUUGGGCGUAAAGGGUGCGUAGGCGGCCUUUUAAGUCAGAUGUGAAAGACCACAGCUUAACUGUGGGAUUGCAUUUGAAACUGAAGGGCUUGAGUGUCGGAGAGGGUAGUGGAAUUCCCGGAGUAGCGGUGAAAUGCGUAGAUAUCGGGAGGAACACCAGUGGCGAAGGCGACUACCUGGACGACAACUGACGCUGAGGCACGAAAGCUAGGGGAGCAAAC
rnacentral:rRNA from 1 species